rnacentral:rRNA from 1 species
GAAGUAUUUCGGUAUGUAAACUUCUAUCAGCAGGGAAGAAAAUGACGGUACCUGACUAAGAAGCCCCGGCUAACUACGUGCCAGCAGCCGCGGUAAUACGUAGGGGGCAAGCGUUAUCCGGAUUUACUGGGUGUAAAGGGAGUGUAGACGGCAGUGCAAGUCUGAAGUGAAAGCCCGGGGCUCAACCCCGGGACUGCUUUGGAAACUGUGCAGCUAGAGUGUCGGAGAGGCAAGCGGAAUUCCUAGUGUAGCGGUGAAAUGCGUAGAUAUUAGGAGGAACACCAGUGGCGAAGGCGGCUUGCUGGACGAUAACUGACGUUGAGGCUCGAAAGCGUGGGGAGCAAACAGGAUUAGAUACCCUGGUAGUCCACGCCGUAAACGAUGACUACUAGGUGUCGGGGAGCAAAGCUCUUCGGUGCCGCAGC